UUUUCCACAGGUACAAUAACUUGCCUAAAAUUCUUUGGCAAUAGGCAUUUAAUCAGCGGCGCAGAAGAUGGGCUCAUCUGUGUCUGGGAUGCAAAGAAAUGGGAAUGCCUGAAGUCCAUUAAAGCUCACAAAGGACAUGUGACUUUCCUCUCUAUUCACCCAUCCGGAAAGUUGGCCCUGUCUGUAGGUACCGAUAAGACAUUACGAACAUGGAAUCUUGUGGAGGGAAGAUCAGCUUUCAUAAAAAAUAUAAAACAAAGUG